ACACAUGUAAUUGACAAAAUUAAAAUUAAAUUCAGAAAAGAAAAAAAAUUAAAACUAAACAAAUCUAGAGAAAAAAAAAAGUUUUACUUUUUUCUUCUCGUUCUUCCAACAGAUCUGGGCAGUGCGAUGGUGGAUAUUGGCACUGCAAUGGCGGAGGAGCUCGCUAGCAGAUCUAAAGCCCGACGCCAAUUCUGAAACCAUUGAGAUGGUGCGAGCUUGAUUCGCCUCCUUUGCGACAGAUAUGAAGCUCUGCAGGGAUCGCAAAGGCUGGGUUCAAUCGGAGUCGAGGACAAUGAGAUCGCAAAGGUUGGAUCAGAAUCCGGGUUGGAGACAAGUAGAUCUAGAGAGAUCUGAAUAAUAUUUGAUUACUAAUAACGAUAUUUCUAGAAAAUUUCUUUGGCUUUGAGUGGAUCACUAUAUGAAUUCGAAGGGGCUGGAGAUGCAUUCUGAGUAACUUUACCCUGCAAAAAUUGGAUGAUAUAUUAAAGGAUUGCAACAGGUGCUUUUUUUUUCCUCAGGAUGAUUUCCAUCCAAUAAUCUUAAUGAUGUAUGUAUCAUAUAAUUACAAUCUUCAAACAAAUCCAGUGGAGGUUACACUAACUAUGGUAAUAAUUUAUACCAA